GACGAACGCUGGCGGCGUGCCUAAUACAUGCAAGUAGAGCGCACAGUUUAUACCGUAGCUUGCUACACCAUAGACUGUGGGUUGCGAACGGGUGAGUAACGCGUAGGUAACCUGCCUGGUAGCGGGGGAUAACUAUUGGAAACGAUAGCUAAUACCGCAUAAUAUUAAUUAUUGCAUGAUAAUUAAUUGAAAGGUGCAAUUGCACCACUACCAGAUGGACCUGCGUUGUAUUAGCUAGUAGGUGAGGUAACGGCUCACCUAGGCGACGAUACAUAGCCGACCUGAGAGGGUGAUCGGCCACACUGGGACUGAGACACGGCCCAGACUCCUACGGGAGGCAGCAGUAGGGAAUCUUCGGCAAUGGACGAAAGUCUGACCGAGCAACGCCGCGUGAGUGAAGAAGGGUUUCGGAUCGUAAAGCUCUGUUGUAAGAGAAGAACGGGUGUGAGAGUGGAAAGUUCACACUGUGACGGUAUCUUACCAGAAAGGGACGGCUAACUACGUG
rnacentral:rRNA from 1 species